rnacentral:rRNA from 1 species
GACGAACGCUGGCGGCGUGCUUAACACAUGCAAGUCGAACGGAAAGGCCCUGCUUUUGUGGGGUGCUCGAGUGGCGAACGGGUGAGUAACACGUGAGUAACCUGCCCUUGACUUUGGGAUAACUUCAGGAAACUGGGGCUAAUACCGGAUAGGAGCUCCUGCUGCAUGGUGGGGGUUGGAAAGUCUCGGCGGUUGGGGAUGGACUCGCGGCUUAUCACCUUGUUGGUGGGGUAGUGGCUUACCAAGGCUUUGACGGGUAGCCGGCCUGAGAGGGUGACCGGCCACAUUGGGACUGAGAUACGGCCCAGACUCCUACGGGAGGCAGCAGUGGGGAAUAUUGCACAAUGGGCGGAAGCCUGAUGCAGCAACGCCGCGUGCGGGAUGACGGCCUUCGGGUUGUAAACCGCUUUCGCCUGUAACGAAGCGUGAGUGACGGUAAUGGGUAAAGAAGCACCGGCUAACUACGU